rnacentral:rRNA from 1 species
UACGGAGGGAGCUAGCGUUGUUCGGAAUUACUGGGCGUAAAGCGCGCGUAGGCGGUUACUCAAGUCAGAGGUGAAAGCCCGGAGCUCAACUCCGGAACUGCCUCUGAAACUGCUAGGCUAGAAUCCUGGAGAGGCGAGUGGAAUUCCGAGUGUAGAGGUGAAAUUCGUAGAUAUUCGGAAGAACACCGGUGGCGAAGGCGACUCGCUGGACAGGUAUUGACGCUGAGGUGCGAAAGCGUGGGGAGCAAACAGG